ACAAUUUGACCUCAAAUCAGGUAGGAUUACCCGCUGAACUUAAGCAUAUCAAUAAGCGGAGGAAAAGAAACUAACAAGGAUUCCCCUAGUAACUGC
rnacentral:rRNA from 2 species